GAUGAAGAACGUAGCGAAAUGCGAUAAGUAAUGUGAAUUGCAGAAUUCAGUGAAUCAUCGAAUCUUUGAACGCAUCUUGCGCUCCUUGGUAUUCUGAGGAGCAUGCCUGUUUGAGUGUCAUUAAAUUCUCAACUACACUGACUUUGAAUUGGUGUGGCUUGGAUUUGGGGGGAAAAUUGUUGUGGGCUUUUUGUAUAGUCUGCUCCCGUGAAAUUGAUUAGCGGUACCUUUGUGGAACUGUCUACAGGUGUGAUAAUUAUCUACAUCUUAGACAUCUGCUGGAAUGCUGCUUUCUAAACCUUACUUGUAUUGACAAUCUUGACCUCAAAUCAGGUAGGACUACCCGCUGAACUUAAGCAUAUCAAUAAGCGGAGGA
rnacentral:misc_RNA from 1 species